rnacentral:rRNA from 1 species
UACGGAGGGGGCUAGCGUUGUUCGGAAUUACUGGGCGUAAAGCGCACGUAGGCGGCUUUGUAAGUUAGAGGUGAAAGCCCGGGGCUCAACUCCGGAAUUGCCUUUAAGACUGCAUCGCUAGAAUUGUGGAGAGGUAAGUGGAAUUCCGAGUGUAGAGGUGAAAUUCGUAGAUAUUCGGAAGAACACCAGUGGCGAAGGCGACUUACUGGACACAUAUUGACGCUGAGGUGCGAAAAGCGUGGGGGAGCAAACAGG